rnacentral:tRNA from 1 species
UGGCUCAGUGGAUAGAGCGUUGGCCUGCAGAAUGAAGGGUCCUGGGUUCAAUUCCCAG